AGCGGCUGCCAGAGGGUCCUGGGCACAGGGCAGGCCGGGCUUCCUCAGGGGCUCCGCCCUUGGCCUCUUUGGCCCGGCGGAAGAUGUCAGCCACAAACUCCUUGGCUUUGGCAAUGGCGGGCGAGGGCUCAGGAGACCCAGAGGAACGGGCUGGGGCCGCCUCAGGGCAGAAGCUGGGAGGGCAGGGGGCAGCUCUGGGCUCUGGGGCUCAGGGGGGCUGGCGGGCGCCGGGGGGCAGGUGCUGUGGUCAUACAGGAUUUGGCAGAAACUCCUGUCACCUGGAAGAAGAGAUGGGUGUGGACAAGUGUCAGUCUGGGGUGCUCCCAGCCUUGCUCAGUGUCCUCAGGGGUUUUCAGAAACCCACCUUGAGGAGACACUUCUAGACUUGGCUAUGCUGAGAUCAGUCUGAAACCCCCAGAAGGGAAAAGACCUUUCCGCGCAUGCACACCACGCACACCACGCACACACGCGUGCAGACGUUCACGUUCAUUCAAACCCCUUUCUUAAGCUGUCUACUGAGUGCCCCACGCUGAGGACACAGGAGUGAACUAGGAGCCGACACUCUACAGUGUAGAGCGUUCACUACAGUAGCAUCCAGCCUCCUAACAUCUGCCACUCUGUCGAGGGACAUCUUGUGAUUUUCACUGGCGUUUCUCUGAUAUGGAAGUCCUAAGGCAAGGCCCUCCUGGGUCCUUCCCGACACAAGCCAGACUGCUGCGGGCACACUUCAUCGAAUCGGGGCCUCUGUCUCUGCCUGCCUAGAGAUGACUCCCCCAAGGAAUGCGGGCAACACAUGGAGAACCCCAACAUAUUCACUGAGCAGCCCUGUGGCUGGGCCCCAUCCCAGGUUUCCUCUGAGCCUCCUACAAGUAACCCCCAGAGAAGGGCCGCGUCCCCCAAAAUGCAGCUCAGAGAUGAACUUGCCCAAGGUCAAAUCUGAGAUAAAUCAAGUCCGGGCUCCCCUCCACCACCGUGACAGCCCUUCCACGACAGGGCGGGGAACAGAUGGGAUGAGGCUGGUUUGGACUGAUGGGAAGUUGAGAAUCAGUGCUUGGGGUUACUUGGUCAUGGGGUCACAGGUGUGAACACCCCAACUCUUGCCCUGCAGAACAACCAGCUCCAGGAACUCCCCUACAAUGAGCUGUCCCGCCUCAGUGGCCUGCGAACCCUCAACCUCCACAACAACCUCAUCUCCUCAGAAGGUGAGGGGCAGAGGGAGGCAGCCUCUCUGGGGCUGAAGGACUGACCGAGGUCUCAGCUGCCAUCCCCUUCCCCCGCCCCGUCUGCGGGCAGCUCUGUCGCAGUUCCCAGAACUGCCCUUU
rnacentral:lncRNA from 1 species